CGCCCCACCAGUCGAGCGGGCCCCGCACGCCCCUGGGCCGGGCGGAGAUGCCUUGCGCGGGUUGGGUGGACACGCCUUGCGAGGCCUGGGUGGACACGCUGCCCCAGGACCCGGUGGACAUGCCGCGCCGGGACCAGGUGGACACGCUUCGCCAGGGCCGGGUGGACACGCUGCAUCGAGGCUGGGCGGGCCCGUCAGGCCCACAGCCACAGGACCAGGGAGCCAGCUGCUCCAGUUCUCCCUCACCGUGUCUUUCCCGUCGCCCAUGGAGGCAGAGAUGGCCGGCCAGUCCCUGGCCCCACGUGUCCAGCCCUACCAAGGGGCAGUUCAGAAGGAGCUCAUAGUGUCCGGCAACAUCUUAGCUAUCCGACUGACUGCAGGAGACCCUGGCCAACUCCGGAUUUCCAUCACCUCCUGUCUCAACCAGCUUUCUCUGUUGGUUCAGACCAUGCAGCACUCUGUGUCCCUGUUUUUUACUAACCCUAGACCAGGAAACCGGGCCUAAGACUAACCUAGGGUCUCUGCCUAGACAGUGCACCCUUCCCCAGGGCAUCGAUUCCUACACUAGUUGCCACUUUAUUGUUUGCUUGUUUUGGCCUUUGGGCUCUCUUGGCCCUGCUGUUGCCCUGUUACUGGAGGAGGAGGGUAUUUCAAUGUUUGUUACAGCAAAAAAUAAAACCGAACUAUCAUUCUG